rnacentral:rRNA from 1 species
GAUGAACGCUGGCGGCGUGCUUAACACAUGCAAGUCGAACGGAAAGGCUCCAGCUUGCUGGAGUGCUCGAGUGGCGAACGGGUGAGUAACACGUGGGCAAUCUGCCCUGCACUCUGGGAUAAGCCUGGGAAACUGGGUCUAAUACCGGAUAGGACCUUUCUCCUCAUGGGGAUUGGUGGAAAGUUUUUCGGUGCAGGAUGGGACCGCGGCCUAUCAGCUUGUUGGUGGGGUAAUGGCCUACCAAGGCGACGACGGGUAGCCGGCCUGAGAGGGUGAUCGGCCACAUUGGGACUGAGAUACGGCCCAGACUCCUACGGGGGGCAGCAGUGGGGAAUAUUGCACAAUGGGCGCAAGCCUGAUGCAGCGUCGCCGCGUGAGGGAUGACGGCCUUCGGGUUGUAAACCUCUUUCGGUAGGGACGAAGCGCAAGUGACGGUACCUGAAGAAGAAGCACCGGCUAACUACGUG